GACGAACGCUGGCGGCGAGCCUAAUACAUGCAAGUAGAACGCACAGUUUAUACCGUAGCUUGCUACACCAUAAACUGUGAGUUGCGAACGGGUGAGUAACGCGUAGGUAACCUGCCUGGUAGCGGGGGAUAACUAUUGGAAACGAUAGCUAAUACCGCAUAAUAUUGAUUAUUGCAUGAUAAUUGAUUGAAAGAUGCUAUUGCAUCACUACCAGAUGGACCUGCGUUGUAUUAGCUAGUAGGUGAGGUAACGGCUCACCUAGGCGACGAUACAUAGCCGACCUGAGAGGGUGAUCGGCCACACUGGGACUGAGACACGGCCCAGACUCCUACGGGAGGCAGCAGUAGGGAAUCUUCGGCAAUGGACGAAAGUCUGACCGAGCAACGCCGCGGGAGUGAAGAAGGUUUUCGGAUCGUAAAGCUCUGUUGUAAGAGAAGAACGGGUGUGAGAGUGGAAAGUUCACACUGUGACGGUAGCUGACCAGAAAGGGACGGCUAACUACGUG
rnacentral:rRNA from 1 species